rnacentral:tRNA from 1 species
AUUAUUUUGGCAGAAAAAUGUGAUAGAUUUAGAAUCUUUUUAUGUAAUUUAUAUUACAAAUAAUAAAUGUUAUU